GAAGAGGUUAAUUCUUGUACCUUUUGUAUGAUGGUUCAGUAAGGUAUUAAUUAAAUGAAAUUUUAGUUCCCGAAGAUAAACGAGUUAGUGUAUUCUGCUUGUAAGAGAGAGAAUUUUUACUGUUGCAAUAGUAAGGUUUGAGGAUACAUUAGGUGUGAAAUGCUUAUCGUGUUUAUGGAUAGCUGGUUCUUUCAGAAAUUGGUGUGAGCUAAGUAUACGUUUUUAUUAAAAUGGUAGUACUUCACGGAGUAAUAGAAGGUGAAAUUUUAAUAAUAGUGUUGUAGUAAGACACGAAGGGAUAAGCCUUUUUGUCAAGUAGGAAAAAGCCUAAUCUAUUAAUUAAGAAUGACUUGGUUGUUGUGUGCUGGUAAAUUGAGAAAAAGUAGGAUUAAUAGCAUCUAUCUUUGGAGAUAGCGUUAAAGCUAAUUUGUUAGGACUAGUACAGGGAAUUGAAAAGUAAAGUAUUUUAGAUUAUAGAUAUUUAUGGGAGAAUUUUGUGGAAACAAAUGUUAUAAUGCUGAAAUUAGUAGGGUAGAGUAUUGUUUGUGUAUUAAUCAAUCCUAACGUUGGAUGGAGUAAUGGUAUAUUAGUCGAGAAAUAAUUUUAAGGGAUUGUCUGCUAACGCAAGCGAUAUAAAAAUAUAAAUGCAAGGGAAAGGAAUUCGGCAAAUAGUGAUUUCGCCUGUUUACCAAAAACAUCGCCUUUUGUAAAGAUUCUAAUAUAUAAAAGGUCCUGCCUGCCCGGUGACUAAGUUAAACGGCCGCGGUAUCUUGACCGUGCAAAGGUAGCAUAAUCAUUUGCCUUUUAAAUGGGGGCUGGUAUGAAUGGCAAGACGGGAAUCAGACUGUCUCUCUCUUGUAAAUCUUGAAGUUAAUAUCUUCGUGAAGAAGCGGAGAUAAAGUCGUAGGACGAGAAGACCCUAUCGAGCUUUAGUUAGAAUUAAUAUAGAUCAGUGCUGGUAUUUUAUGUGCUAAUAAAAUAAUUUCGUUGACUUGGAAGGUACUAUUAAUAAUACCUGGUUAUAUGUUUUAUACUUAGGUUGGGGCAACCGCGGAGAAUAAGAAUCCUCCGUUAAGUUAAUUAUUAAGCAUUGCGUUUUUAAUGUAAUUAAGUUGUUUAAGAGUGAUCCACUAGAAAGUGAUCAAAAGAAUAAGUUACCGUAGGGAUAACAGCGUAAUUUUUUUGGAGAGUUCAUAUUGAUAAAGAAGUUUGCGACCUCGAUGUUGGAUCAGGAUUUCC
rnacentral:rRNA from 1 species